rnacentral:rRNA from 1 species
UACGUAGGGGGCUAGCGUUGUCCGGAAUCAUUGGGCGUAAAGAGCGCGUAGGCGGCCAGAUAAGUCCGGUGUGAAAGUCAAAGGCUCAACCUUUGAAUGCCGCUGGAAACUGUCUGGCUAGAGUCCGGGAGGGGCGAGUGGAAUUCCUGGUGUAGCGGUGAAAUGCGCAGAUAUCAGGAGGAACACCAAUGGCGAAGGCAGCUCGCUGGGACGGUACUGACGCUGAGACGCGAAAGCGUGGGGAGCAAACAGG